UUGACAGCAACUCAUAACUGCUUGGUCUAAUUCUUUCCAACGUGUCCUUUUUCCUGUAAUCCAUUUUCUUCUCUAAAUUAAUUUUCCAAGUUCUUUCCUCAGCUCUUCAACAAUGGAAUCCUGUGAAUUACAAGAGUCGUCAUGAUAAGGAGGAAUUCAGGAUCACCUGGUACGACGGUUUGGCGAGCUAGCAUAUGUAAAAGUUUGAUGUUCAGGUGUAAUUUCUCAAGGUCGAUCUUUGUGAUGGUUGUCUACACUGUCUUUCUUCUUGUUCUGCCGCCAAUGUUGCCACCGUUGCCACCGCCGCCAACGGUUCUUCUGUUUGUGCCAGUUAUGAUCAUGUCCCUUCUGGUUUUUAUGGCCUUCAUUCCAUCGCAAAUGCCCUCGUUUUCUCCUUGAGAUCCUUUCUUCCUUUUUUUUUUU
rnacentral:misc_RNA from 1 species